rnacentral:rRNA from 1 species
AUACGUAGGGUGCGAGCGUUGUCCGGAAUUACUGGGCGUAAAGAGCUCGUAGGUGGUUUGCCGCGUCGUCUGUGAAAUUCCGGGGCUUAACUCCGGGCGUGCAGGCGAUACGGGCAUAACUUGAGUACUGUAGGGGAGACUGGAAUUCCUGGUGUAGCGGUGAAAUGCGCAGAUAUCAGGAGGAACACCGGUGGCGAAGGGGGGUCUCUGGGCAGUAACUGACGCUGAGGAGCGAAAGCAUGGGUAGCGAACAGGAUUAGAUACCCUGGUAGUCCAUGCCGCAAACGGUGGGCGCUAGGUGUAGGGGUCUUCCACGACUUCUGUGCCGUAGCUAACGCAUUAAGCGCCCCGCCUGGGGAGUACGGCCGCAAGGCUAAAACUCAAAUGAAUUGACGGGG